rnacentral:lncRNA from 1 species
GUUGAUAGUCCCUGCUAGUCUUGGUUUUCAAGAUCUGGUUUUUGGUGAUCUGACUUUUAUGUUCUCUUCAUAGCUCGGAGAUGACUCCACAGUUUGCUGAUUUCUGUAGUCUCUUUUUCUUUCUUUGUUCUCUCAUCUCGUUGCACUUUUCAUCGCUGGUUGUGUCUCUGGUGGCUCUCCAUUUCACAUAUAUGUCACUCAAGGUUUGGAUAGUGUUUUCCUUCGUAUAUGUUUUGUGGGCUUGGAAGAUUAUUUUUUGUCUCAAACUUGAGCUCUGAUUUCUCUAUAGUUGGCUUCCAUUCUCCCUCCCUUAUGUUGCUUUUCUUCUUCUCCUGCUUCCUUUGGUAUAGGUGUGUGGAGUUAGUCUUUUGGUGCUUUAGUCUCUUCUAUUCAGAGCUUUGUGGUUCUUCGUUGGCAUAGGCUCCUUGUAUGUGGUUGUUUUGUUUGUGAGGUGAUUCAUACCUUUUAGCUGGUGGUUGUGCAUUAUGCAUGUGUUUUCCUGCUUCGUGGUGACUUUGGUCCGGUGAUUAUUCUUUCUCAAUCCUUUUUUUGGUGUUUUGGAUUGGUGCUUGAUCGCGUUCAUUUGUGUUCCAGACUUUUAUUGAGUA